UGGCCGGACGGGGCCCGCGGCAGCCGCGUCACCGGGAUCUACCACGUCAACGGCGGAGGCGGCGCUGCCGGGAAAGGUCCCUACAACACCUACAAGCCCAGCUCGGAGGUGGCGGAACCGCCGGCAUCGGUGCUGGCAGAAGGUGCAGCAGCCCUGUGACCCCCCCACGGCUGGGAGGGGGUGACCAAGGUGCCCCCCCGGACCCCCGGGGGUGACCAAGGUGCCCCCCCGGACCCCCGGCACCAUCGGGCAGCAACCGAAGCCCUCGGAACCCUCAUUUUUGGGGGGAAAAAAGGCGGGAUCGGGAUCCUCUGUGAGAGAGGAGAGGUCCUCCCACGGUCCUUUUUUUGGGGGGGGGUUUCUCCUUGGAGAGGACAUCCCGUGGUGGGGGUCGGGGUUGGAUCCGUCUCCGGGAGCGUCGCCGGAGCUGGAAAAUCCUGAUCUCCGCAGAAAUUAUAUUUAUUAAUGUA